rnacentral:rRNA from 1 species
UACGAAGGGUCCAAGCGUUAUCCGGAUUUAUUGGGUUUAAAGGGUGCGUAGGCGGCUUAUUAAGUCAGUGGUGAAAGACUUCAGCUUAACUGAAGAACUGCCAUUGAUACUGAUGAGCUUGAAUGUAGUUGAGGUGGGCGGAAUGUGUCAUGUAGCGGUGAAAUGCUUAGAUAUGACACAGAACACCGAUUGCGAAGGCAGCUUACUGCCCGAAUAUUGACACUGAGGCACGAAAGCGUGGGGAUCAAACAGG